rnacentral:lncRNA from 1 species
CUUCAGGGACCUGGGAAAUGGUAAACCACAUGUGAUGUCCAUUUCCUGCCCUCUAACCUGGCCGGGCAGCAAGGAGGUUCCAGUCUCUUCCAACACAAACCUGCACCUUCCCCACCCCACCUCCUCUGCUCAGCUCUGGCUCACAGGGAUGUCAGCGGGGAGGGGGGGGGGGGGGAUACACACAGUAGGGCCUUGAAGGGUGUACACAGUUUGAAUAAAUGAUCCUACAGGCCUGGGGAGUCUCUCAGCCCCCUCCCCCAUUUCCUCUGGGAAAGGAAUGUGGGGUGGAUCCCAGAGGGUGGUGGGGGAUGGGGCCAAGGGCUGGGAAAUACCAGG